CCUACGGGUGACUGCAGUGAGGAAUAUUGGUCAAUGGCCGUAAGGCUGAACCAGCCAAGUAGCGUGAGGGAAGACUGCCCUAUGGGUUGUAAACCUCUUUUAUGCGGGGAUAAAGGUGUCCACGUGUGGAUGUUUUCAGGUACCGCAUGAAUAAGGACCGGCUAAUUCCGUGCCAGCAGUCGCGGUAAUACGGAGGGUCCGGGCGUUAUCCGGAUUUAUUGGGUUUAAAGGGAGCGUAGGCCGGUCUUUAAGCGUGCCGGGAAAUUUUGUGGCUCAACCAUGAGAGUGCGGCGCGAACUGGAGACCUUGAGUGCGCGGAAGGCAGGCGGAAUUCGUGGUGUAGCGGUGAAAUGCUUAGAUAUCACGAAGAACCCCGAUUGCGAAGGCAGCCUGCCGCAGCGUUACUGACGCUGAAGCUCGAAAGCGCGGGUAUCGAACAGGAUUAGAUACCCUUGUAGUC
rnacentral:rRNA from 1 species